UUUCAGGGUUAUAGAUAGAAUAUCUCAACAUAGCAUCGUACAAUGAAGAUUACUUCGGAAUACGGUGAGAAUCCGUAACGGGCGCGCCACUGUGAGAGCUUGCAAGAGUUUGAGUCAGAUACGAAGUUGGUUCAUAUUAUGUAC
rfam:Vibrio fischeri ES114 chromosome II, complete sequence.